GACGAACGCUGGCGGCGUGCUUAACACAUGCAAGUCGAACGGAAAGGCCCCUUCGGGGGUCCUCGAGUGGCGAACGGGUGAGUAACACGUGAGUAACCUGCCCUUGACUUCGGGAUAACUUCAGGAAACUGGGGCUAAUACCGGAUAGGAAUCCUUGCUGCAUGGUGGGGGUUGGAAAGCUUCGGCGGUUUUGGAUGGACUCGCGGCUUAUCAGCUUGUUGGUGGGGUAGUGGCUUACCAAGGCUUUGACGGGUAGCCGGCCUGAGAGGGCGACCGGCCACAUUGGGACUGAGAUACGGCCCAGACUCCUACGGGAGGCAGCAGUGGGGAAUAUUGCACAAUGGGCGGAAGCCUGAUGCAGCAACGCCGCGGGCGGGAUGACGGCCUUCGGGUUGUAAACCGCUUUCAGCAGGGGCGAAGCUUGUGGUGACGGUACCUGCAGAAGAAGCACCGGCUAACUACGUG
rnacentral:rRNA from 1 species